UCCAUUUACAAUAGUUGCUUCAGAUUCCCUUCACUCUAAUCAAUUCAAGCCAUUGAAUGCCAUAAUUAACCAUCUUGAAUGCUAGAAUCAACAAUUGCUGCUUCAAUUUCUCUUCACUGGUAUCGAUUGUUAUCAUUUUGAUGGUAUAAAUCAGAGUGAGUUGUUAGAGCUUCAUCUUUACUUCUAUUUGUUUCAGAUCGUUUGCGUUCUUGGUCACUCACAAUUUCAGGUUAUUCGAUGACAAAGGAGAGACAAGUUGUGGUAGAUCAGGCAACAGCGGUGGAUCUGGACACCGACGGCGACGACGGAAUAGGUUUCCAGCAAGUAUUCCGGUGACUACAGUGAUUUGGAGAAGUGUUUAGGGAAUAGCAGCGGUUUCGGGAAGCUUUGGUGGAAUGGUGGUCGUGUGAGCAGGUGGAUAAUGGGAUUGCGUCGACUUCAGGAUACUAGGAUACUGAUGGUAAAUUGAUAAUUGAGAUUGUGGUAUGCAUUUUUGUUAGUUUUGUUGUUCACCUUGAAUCUAGAAAUAAGGUAGGGUUUACACAGGUAUUGAAAGUUACUGAACUUGACAGCUACCAGACGCUGGUUAGACCACUUGAUCUUUCUCUCUUUUCAGCCGCAUUGAUACGCUACAACGGUAUUACUGCUGGCGACGUUGUUUCCUGCCCAACAUUCUCUGAGAUUGUAGAUAAGGUUUACGACAUCUUGCAAGCAAGAGUGUGGGCGGGUCUCAAUAUAGUGGAGUUUGAUUGUGUGAGGUUAAAGGAGGCGUAUGCGCAGAUAAACCAAAAACUUCCUGUACCCAAGGGAACCAUGGAUACAUUGAAAUUGUUGACUGGGACGUUUGGGAGGAGAACCGAUAACAUGAAGGUAUAUUAUUGUUUGGGAGGAGAAAAACGAUAACAUUGAAUAUAUGACUCAUAACUCAUAAGAUAACCUUGUUCGUUGAUAAAUUUGAUUAAUAAGCAAAGUCGGCCGGUUGAGCUGACUAAAUCGAAGCCAGUCGGCCGGUUUGAAACUUUGAACCGGCUGUGUGAACUCGAAAAGGCCUCUUUAAUGUUUAUCAUUUAUCUUUUUUUUCACUUUUAAGUUUGUGGUUAUGUGUGUGUAUCUUAAUUAUUGAUCAUCUUUAUCAAUUUAACUUUUUAAUACAAACCAAGGAUAUUGAAAAGAAAACACUGAUCCAAAUUGUUGAAACUAGAUUGGUAAAACAGCCGGUCUAGCCAACCCCUUCAAUCCGGCCGGUUUGGCUUGUUGUUUACUUGUUUUUCGAAAUAAUAGUUAGUAGUCUGGCCUAGAGUUUUUUGUUAUAACCGGCUGAAGUGGACCAUGAGCAACCUUAGUAGUAUGACAAAGAUGCUUUUUUUGAAUCAAACAAUACCUAUAUUUUAAAAGGAGAUGUUCUUGAUUUAGUGUUCACAUUGGGGUAUUGUAUUAAUA